rnacentral:tRNA from 1 species
UUUCCUGUGGCUCAGUUGGUGGAGCAUUGCGCGUAAAACACAAAGGUUGUGGGUUCAAAUCAUUGGGAAAG